GUGUCCCUUACAGGCUCCAGAUUAUGUUGGAUGGGAUUAUCCCUAGUUGUAAAUCCACAUGCAGUUAGAGGAGUCCAGUUCUAGCCCUGAUACGAUAGGGAAUUUAAUCAGUCAUCUAGUGGAAUGUGGACGGGGUUACUUGACUCGGUGCAUUAAAAUGACAAGAAUAUGAUUAUAAAAAUACGAAUAUGAUUAUAUGUUAUGAAUAUGACAAGAAUUAUGAUAGUAUACAAUUAGUGAUACUAGUGUUCCCCAUAUCACUACGAUACAUGACGAAAUAGUAAACCUAGAUUAUGUUUAU
rnacentral:lncRNA from 1 species